GGAUGAUGGCAUAUUCUCUGAGAGAGACUAGUGGAACAUCAGACAGCCUGGACAGUGUGCAACAGCAGAUUCUCCAGAAAUGGAGAUGCCAUGUAGGCCAGAACUGCACUUCUGUGUCAUCACAGAUCUCAUGGUCAAAGAAUCAUUAAAACCAGUAUUAAAAUGACAGCUCUGUUUCAGAGUGUUUGUGAAACAAGAACACAGCCAUUAGACACCUCUUAGAAAGAGUAAUACAUGCACAAUGCAGGCUGUGGACUCCUCCACAGAGAGGCGUGAGAGACUUCUAUAAUGAAGUGCUCUUACCCCCCUUAAACAGUGUUUUUUGCACUCUUAAAUACUGAUCAGCAUCCAGGCCAAAAAUUCCCUGACUACAUUAUGAACCAUUACCAGGUCAAAGGAAUCUGAAUUCAUCAACCAUAAUAACAGCUUUAAAUUAUGAUGAAAGAGACAGUAGACUGAAUCAAGGGUCACAGCAGCUGAAAACCAUGCCACACAACAAGAUCAACAUAGACAGGACCUUUUCCGAUGAAAUAGAAGCCAGAGGCGUACAGCCCCUGUUCAAGGAAGUGAAACCAAAACCAGAAGUCACAGCAGUGCUGUGGGACUGCUGGGCACAGCUGCUGCCUGGCUCAGGGCUGCUCCCAAAGCCGGGCUGGCCACCAGUGCUCCGUCUGUGCUGGGCACUCCAUGAGGCCGAGGCUCUGGCACUGAGAUGGAGGCAGCAGGAUGCUUCCACAGCCACUGGCAGUGCCUGGCACCACAUCAGAAGAGAGCUUCAUUUGAAGGGAAAGAGUAUAGCUAUGGAUUUCUUGAGGUUAAUCACUAUAGGCAGCAACUAAUUUUUCUCAUGGCUGACCCUUCAAAAUGUACGCGGGGAAAACUGGAAAGUGCAACAGACUGUAGAAAUCUACUUCUCUGGGAAGUAAAGGUGAAUCUUUAAACUUCUGUAUUUCUUUUUCACCAAAGGAAGAUUAUUUACUUUUCUGGAAGUAAGAUGAGCUCAGUGUUGCAACUGACAUUCGCUGUAUUGAUUUCCAGCUCCC
rnacentral:lncRNA from 1 species